UAAGAAUUAGUUAAUUUUAUAACAUAAGUAUGUCAUGCUUAAAUAAUUAAUAAAUAAUAUUCUUAU
rnacentral:tRNA from 1 species